ACAAUGGGCGCAAGCCUGAUGGUGCGACGCCGCGUGGGGGAUGAAGGGCUUCGGUUCGUAAACCCCUGUCAUCUGUGAGUAAGGCUCCCAAUAAAAGCUUGGGAGAUUGAUAUCAGCAGAAGAGGAAGGGACGGCUAACUCAGUGCCAGCAGCCGCGGUAAUACUGAGGUCCCAAGCGUUGUUCGGAUUUACUGGGCGUAAAGGGUGCGUAGGCGGCUAUAAAAGUUUGGUGUGAAAUCUCCGGGCUCAACCCGGAAACUGCAUUGAAAACUAGAUAGCUAGAGGAUCGGAGAGGAGAUUGGAAUUCUCAGUGUAGCAGUGAAAUGCGUAGAUAUUGAGAGGAACACCAGUUGCGAAGGCGGAUCUCUGGACGGUUCCUGACGCUGAGGCACGAAAGCUGGGGUAGCGAAGAGGAUUAGAUACCCUCGUAGUCCCAGCCGUAAACGGUGCGCACUUGCUGUGGGCGGAUUCGACCCCGUCCGUGGCGAAGCUAACGCGAUAAGUGCGCCGCCUGGGGAGUACGGUCGCAAGAUUAAAACUCAAAGAAAUUGACGGGGGCCUGCACAAGCGGUGGAGUAUGUGGCUUAAUUCGAUGCAACGCGAAGAACCUUACCUGGCCUUGACAUGUAGUGGACCGGGUGCGAAAUCACCCUUUCCUUCGGGACUGCUACACAGGUGCUGCAUGGCUGUCGUCAGCUCGUGUCGUGAGAUGUUGGGUUAAGUCCCGCAACGAGCGCAACCCCCGUGUUCUGUUGCCACCCGGAUGAGAAUCCGGAGCACUCUGGACAGACUGCCUGGUUUCAACCAGGAGGAAGGUGGGGAUGACGUCAAGUCAGUAUGGCCCUUACGGCCAGGGCUGCACACGUACUACAAUGCCUGAUAUAAUGGGAAGCAAGACCGCGAGGUGGAGCAAAUCCUCAAAAUCAGGCCCAGUUCAGAUUGUAGGCUGCAACUCGCCUACAUGAAGGAGGAAUCGCUAGUAAUGCCGUAUCAGCUACGACGGCGUGAAUACGUUCCCAGGCCUUGUACACACCGCCCGUCACAUCAUGAAAGUCGAUUGUACCCGAAGUCGCCGCGUUAACCGCAAGGAGACAGGUGCCGAAGGUAUGGUUGGUAAUUGGGAUGAAGUCGUAACAAGGUAGCCGUAGGGGAACCUGUGGCUG
rnacentral:rRNA from 1 species